rnacentral:rRNA from 1 species
GAUCGAGUUUGAUCCUGGCUCAGAACGUACGCUGGCGGCACGCCUAACACAUGCAAGUCGAACGGCAGCACGGGUGCUUGCACCUGGUGGCGAGUGGCGAACGGGUGAGUAAUACAUCGGAACGUACCUUAUCGUGGGGGAUAACGCAGCGAAAGUUGCGCUAAUACCGCAUACGCCCUGAGGGGGAAAGCGGGGGACCGUAAGGCCUCGCGCGAUUAGAGCGGCCGAUGUCUGAUUAGCUUGUUGGUGGGGUAAAAGCCCACCAAGGCGACGAUCAGUAGCUGGUCUGAGAGGACGAUCAGCCACACUGGGGACUGAGACACGGCCCAGACACCUACGGGUGCAGCAGUUUCGAAUCGUUUCACGAAUGGGGGGCAACCCGUGAUGGCGCGAGGGAGCGAUA